rnacentral:tRNA from 1 species
UGGCAUAGUGGUUAAGUGCUAUGGCUUCUAACCAAAAGGUUGGCAGUUCAAAUCUGCC